rnacentral:tRNA from 1 species
UCCCUGGUGGCUCAGAGGUUAAAGCGUCUGCCUCCAAUGCAGGAGACCCGGGUUCGAUCCCAGGGUCGGGAA